GUGGCUCAGUGGUAGAGUGUUUGCCUUGCAUGCUAGAGACCCUAAGUUCAAUUCCUUAGC
rnacentral:tRNA from 1 species